rnacentral:tRNA from 1 species
AAGACUUUAAGUUAAUAAAACUAUUAACCUUCAAAGUUAAAAUUAUCAAUUAUUUUUUAAGUCUUA